GGGUUAGUAGGUUGGUCAUGCCUCUGGUAUGUACUGGUCUCACUGAUUCCUCCUUCCUGAUGAACCUUAAUGCCAUUAAUUUGGUGUUGCGGGGAAUUUGGACUGUUACUUUGAAAAAAUUAGAGUGUUUAAAGCAAGCUAACGCUUGAAUACAUUAGCAUGGAAUAAUGAAAUAGGACUUUUGUACUAUUUUGUUGGUUUUUAGGAUUGACGUA
rnacentral:rRNA from 1 species